UAAGUAUUUUAUUUUGACCACAGCCAACAGA
rnacentral:piRNA from 1 species